CGUCGAAUUGAAAGAGAUGAGCCCAGGCGAGCUGAGAUAAAUUGUAAUCAAAAUGAAAGAAAUCAGGCUAGGCGAGAACUUAAUAGGUAUAAUAUGCAUCGCAUAGCAAGAAAUAAUAUUGCUAUAGAGAGUAACUACCUCGGAGAAUUAAACCAUAAUUGUCAGUAUUGCAGUGCAAAGAAGUUUUUAAAUGAAACUCAUUUUUUGUGCUGCCAUUCAAGAAAAUUUGUAUUAGCUCCUCUUUCUCUUUAUCCGCCAUUGUUGACUGGUUUAAUGACAGGAAACCAUGUUGAUCAUGCUGUAAAUCAAAAUUUUUUUAAACACAAGGAGUUAUAAUUCCUCUUUAUCUUUUGCUUCCUUCACUGCCGAAAUAGCUCCUCCCUCAAAUAAUAGCCCUUUCUGUUUUAGGGUCUGUGGGCAAAUUUUGCAUCGUGUUGGAAAUUUAAGGCCUGCAGAAGGUUGUCUGCCCAAAUAUUGUCAGCUGUAUAUCUAUGAUCCUAAUGCAGCUUAUUACAUUGAUUGAUUGUUUUUAUUGCAUUUUUAAUUUUCUUUUAUUUAUCUCUAGCUGCUGCUUCUUCUGUUACAAGCUCGAAGUCAUGGGAAGAUUUCCGAAAGUAUCGCUCCCAGCAUCCAGGCCCUCUAUCUAUGAGGGCCUUCCAUCGCUGGUGUUUGUAUGGGGACGACCAUCCCUCCUUUAGAUGGAGGGAUGGCACACCAUACAACACGGGGAAUAGAGCGGAUGCUGGGAGGAGAAGACAACGUGGCUCAAAAGUUGUCAAUAAUUUUUUUACAUUUUAAAAUGUAAAGAAAUUGACAACUUUUGAGCCACUUCAUUUUUUUUUUUGUAAUAUAUUUUUGUAAAUUUA